AUGCCCGAGCCCCACCAAAUCCACCAACCCACGCCUCCAACCGAUCCAAACUCCGUUGCCUCCACGGCUGCAAAUGCCCGGCGCAAUCCGGCCCCGCUGCCGUUGCCGGAGAUCGCGGUGCCGCCAGUGCAGCCGAAGAUGAUCAUAAAGGGGAUGCUGGGCCGGUACGAGCGGUGGAACCCCGUGCACCCGACGGCGGGGGCCUUCUGGGGCGUCGGGCUGGGGUUCGGCUGCGGCGUCGGGUGGGGCCCGGGGUUUGGGCCCGAGGUCAUCGGCUACGUCGGCGCCGGAUGCGGCGUCGGCUUCAGCGUCGGCAUCACGCUCGCCGGUGUCGGCGUCGGGCUGCCACAGCACGGCAUCAUCAGGAACCACUACCACGGCGGCGGUUUUGCAAGCAAUGUCCCAUUCGAAUCAGCAAGGUUUUACCUCUUGACCAUGCUAAAAGGUAUGGUAUGGGAUGCCAUCAGUUAUGCGAGCAACGUCGCAGCUAUGAGGAAAGAAUCUCGACAGAAGCUUUUAAGAUGUCAGGAGAAUCCUCAAGUUUCAGGAGUUGAUCUGCCCAAGCUGGGGAAAGGAAUGUCCAGCAGCUUUCGAUCAACGAUGGAGUGUAUCAAGGCCUUCACAAAUCAGCAUUGGCCUCCAUAG
rnacentral:rRNA from 1 species